rnacentral:lncRNA from 1 species
UGGGUGUGACAAAAUUUAUCAAUUUCACAUUCUUUGCCUGCUUUCCACUGUCCUUGACACUGUAAAAAGUUAAGUUAUACAAAAGCAGCAUUAUAAAAGGUUGAGAUUUUCGACUAUGAUAUAAUCAUUUUCUACAGUGAGAUUUCCCCAUAUGAUAUACUUUAGUUCUAUACUAUGUAAGUUAUUGUAUUACUAAAAGGCGUAAAAAUAAUAUUU